GAUGAAGAACGUAGUGAAAUGCGAUAAUUAAUGUGAAUUGCAGAAUUCAGUGAAUCAUCGAGUCUUUGAACGCACAUUGCGCCCCCUGGUAUUCCGGGGGGCAUGCCUGUCCGAGCGUCAUUGCUGCCCUCAAGCACGGCUUGUGUGUUGGGCUUCCGUCCCUGGUAACGGGGACGGGCCCAAAAGGCAGUGGCGGCACCAUGUCUGGUCCUCGAGCGUAUGGGGCUUUGUCACCCGCUCCCGUAGGUCCAGCUGGCAGCUAGCCUCGCAACCAAUCUUUUUAACCAGGUUGACCUCGGAUCAGGUAGGGAUACCCGCUGAACUUAAGCAUAUCAAUAAGCGGAGGA
rnacentral:misc_RNA from 1 species